GCAAGUCGAACGGUAACAGAACUAGCUUGCUAGCUGCUGACGACUGGCGGACGGGUGAGUCAUGCUUGGGUAUUUGCCUUUAGGUGGGGGACAACAGUUGGAAACGACUGUUAAUACCGCAUGAUAGCUACGGCUCAAAGGGGGCUUCGGCUCCCGCCGUUAGAGCAGCCCAAGUGGGAUUAGGUAGUUGGUGAGGUAAAGGCUCACCAAGCCCACGAUCCCUAGCUGGUCUGAGAGGAUGAUC
rnacentral:rRNA from 1 species